CCGUAAGGCGACGUAUAGGGUCUGACGCCUGCCCGGUGCUGGAAGGUUAAAAGGAGGGGUGCGAGCUCUGAAUUGAAGCCCCAGUUAAACGGCGGCCGUAACUAUAACGGUCCUAAGGUAGCGAAAUUCCUUGUCGGGUAAGUUCCGACCUGCACGAAUGGCGUAACGACUUCCCCACUGUCUCCAGCACAUGCUCAGCGAAAUUGAAUUGCCCGUGAAGAUGCGGGCUACCCGCGGUUAGACGGAAAGACCCCGUGCACCUUUACUGCAGCUUCAGAGUGGCAUUAGGAAAGAACUGUGUAGCAUAGGUGGGAGGCUAUGAAGCGACGGCGCCCAGCUGUCGUGGAGCCAUAGGUGAAAUACCACCCUGUUGUUUUCUGAUGUCUAACCUCGCACCGUUAUCCGGUGCAGGAACCCUCUGUGGCGGGUAGUUUGACUGGGGCGGUCGCCUCCUAAAGAGUAACGGAGGCGCGCGAUGGUGGGCUCAGGCCGGUUGGAAACCGGCUGUUAGAGU
rnacentral:rRNA from 1 species